CCAGCCAAGUCGCGUGAAGGAAGACUGCCCUAUGGGUUGUAAACUUCUUUUGUACAGGAAUAAAGUGCUUUACGUGUAGAGUUUUGUAUGUACUGUACGAAUAAGGAUCGGCUAACUCCGUGCCAGCAGCCGCGGUAAUACGGAGGAUCCGAGCGUUAUCCGGAUUUAUUGGGUUUAAAGGGUGCGUAGGUGGACUUAUAAGUCAGUGGUGAAAGUUUGCAGCUUAACUGUAAAAUUGCCGUUGAAACUGUUAGUCUUGAGUGCAAAUGAGGUAGGCGGAAUGUGUUGUGUAGCGGUGAAAUGCAUAGAUAUAACACAGAACACCGAUUGCGAAGGCAGCUUACUAGAAUGCCACUGACACUGAUGCACGAAGGCGUGGGGAUCAAACAGGAUUAGAUACCCCUGGUAGUCCACCGCAGUAAACGAUGAAUACUAGUCUG
rnacentral:rRNA from 1 species